rnacentral:sRNA from 1 species
AAGUAACUUAAAUUUUCUUUGUGGAUCCUUCCCUCUACACCGAUCACACCAGCGCUACCUCAGCACCAUGAUCUCCUCUCAGGCCACAACCAUACCUCGUUCGCAACCCAUGGCGAACCACCUCUACAGCACGAGCAGAUCAAAGACAAAAACGCAGCAGCAGGCUUCACACUAAGAUCCAUAGCAGCUUUCACAGUGUGGAAGAAGAUAAUCCACCAUCGUUGACGCACCUCACGACACCGCCAAUCUGCUAUAUGAGAAAACGAAGCAGAUGAUUUUCCCAAUCUUGGCAUCUUUGAUUUUCCCCCAAUUCUCUCCCUUGUAAUCUAAAAAUUUGUUUCUUUGACUUUCUUCAGCAAUUCUUUAAUUUUUCUCAUGGCUUCAGAUUCCAAAAAGGAUUUUCCUGCCGAGAAUAAUUUAAAGCUGCCAGAGGAACAGGAAGAGAUUGAAUCAAAGAACAUCAUUCUCGAACUUUCUUUCAUCAGCUCUUGAUAUCUGUAAUAUUAGAACAAGGCAAAAAAGCUCGAGGACUCUAAGCUUGGAAAACUAACAAAAAUAAUUGAGACUAUGCAGGCAGAGCAAUGUAUUCAUUCUCCGUUCUCC